AGGACCAAUUGGCAAGAUGGUUGUCACAAAGCCUGUGCAAGGCCGAAUGUGGAAAGGCGGCUUACGGGAGAAAGUGACGGCUGCACACUUUGCUGUGUGAAGUCACAACAAAGCGAUCCCGCCGAAUUAGCACUAGCCAUCGUCUCCUCUGGGCUUCGUCUUGUGGAAAAGCAUGAAAACUGAGGCCAGCGCUAUAAGUUGAAGACGCAGUGCACUCCGGGACACAACAGUGCUCGCGGCCAUGCGUCCCCGAGACAAGCACCCGCUCAACCCAGGAGGCAGCCCGCGAGGGACUAAGGGGGCGCCCAACCCCGGUAGAGGGAGGCCCGCAGAGGGUGGACAGGUGGCGAGCCCCCCAGUCCCCCCCCACCGAGGAAAGUGGGUCCAGGGCCCCACCCUGGCGGACGGCCCCCCACACACCGGAGGGGCCCCAGCCCUCCCCCAGCAGGACGGACCACCGCCCACUGCAGUGACCCGGCACGCCCCAACCCCCCCCAACGCUGCAGGAUGAUCUAGGGGGGGCCCAUAUAGACAAAGAAAACCGGCGGGUUAGGUGGGGCCUGCACAAGGAAGACACACCCAUCCCGCCACCAGCACAAAUACCCAAACGAUAAAAACAAUAUACUGGCGAUUGUAACAACAUUAUUAUCUUGGCUUAAAAAAGCCAACUUACUGCUCUUUUUCUGGUUAUUAUUAUUAUUCUCCACCCCCUA